rnacentral:rRNA from 1 species
UGGGGAAUAUUGCACAAUGGGCGAAAGCCUGAUGCAGCAACGCCGCGUGAGUGAUGAAGGUCUUCGGAUUGUAAAGCUCUGUCUUUUGGGACGAUAAUGACGGUACCAAAGGAGGAAGCCACGGCUAACUACGUGCCAGCAGCCGCGGUAAUACGUAGGUGGCGAGCGUUGUCCGGAUUUACUGGGCGUAAAGGGUGCGUAGGCGGAUGUUUAAGUGAGAUGUGAAAUACCCGGGCUUAACUUGGGUGCUGCAUUUCAAACUGGAUAUCUAGAGUGCAGGAGAGGAGAAUGGAAUUCCUAGUGUAGCGGUGAAAUGCGUAGAGAUUAGGAAGAACACCAGUGGCGAAGGCGAUUCUCUGGACUGUAACUGACGCUGAGGCACGAAAGCGUGGGUAGCAAACAAGAUUAGAUACCCUGGUAGUCCACGCCGUAAACGAUGAGUACUAGGUGUAGGAGGUAUCGACCCCUUCUGUGCCGCAGUAAAACACAUUAAGUACUCCGCCUGGGAAGUACGAUCGCAAGAUUAAAAC